rnacentral:lncRNA from 1 species
CCUCGUUCCUCUCUUGUAAUUAACAUCAGAUAGCUGCCAUAUGGAGUUUAUCGGUCCCCGAAUCCAGUUUACAUUCUCGUGAUUUUGCACCUAGGGUUUUCGGCCUUUACAACAUAUUUAGCAAGCAGGCAAUUAAUAGCUCAUUUUCUGUGGUGUUAGGAACUGUUUAUCUUCUGAACUAGCUCUUACCGUAGGCCAAUCCCUAUGAAAGGCAAGAGUCAUCGGCGUUUUGUGCUCGAGUUGUUACACUUACUCAGCAGAGGCCUGCUUCGCCAUUAGAUACAAAGCUUCUGAUGGCUACUUGAGUUUGAAUGCACUGUUAUUACAGGUAAAGAAGAGGCUGAUUUGCUGGUUCACUGAAGCACUCCUACACUGUGUGGGACCUGGCAAGGGGCACAAAUCCUGGCAACCCCGCUCUAUGACAUUUCCAAUGGCUUUGCUGAAUGUGAGUGUAAGAAGGAGGUUGCAGCUACGGUGUCCACUCAGAUGCAAAAUUAUCAACACAAUGAACAGUACCAUGGUCCCUGAGAGGGUGGAUGAGCACCUAAUACCAAACCCAUGACUUUCGGAGCAGCAUUCUACAGUCUCUACUUGCAGUUAUUUUAAUAUCUCUCACCUCAAGUGAAGUCAGAAUUCUCCCCAUGAAAAAUUCCCCCCCGCUGAUAACUUUUACUCUGUGAGGAGGGUCACACGUUCAAGAGAAUGUGUUCCUUGAAACAGCACUGAGGAUUCCUAAUCCAUUUUCUAGUCCUGUAAUAAUCAGAUUAAAAUUUAAACAUAUCAAACCAGUGCUUCCCACAUGUAGGCAGGAGCACAAACACCUCACAGCCUCAAUGUAACCAGCUGAUUAGAAGCAGCUUUUAUUUCUUUUAUUACAAGUUUUGCUCAAUUUUAUCCCCAAGAUUUGCUUUACAGGGAAGUGUCUGCAUACCGCCUUCCUUUUGUCUCAACCAGAGGGUUUAAUAGCUAAAGUAACUGAAAAGGACUAGCACCAGAAAGGCUUUGGUUACCAGAGUAACCGUAAAAACAGACCCCAGUCUCCAUGGCAAAGAGAAAAGCUAUUUGCUGCAGCCUUUUCAGACCUUGAACAGACACUGACAGUUUUCCUAUAAUCAGUGCAGAUUAUUUGUAGCAACUAACUAUAUUAUAAUGUUAUCUCUGGGAGGUCUUUGAAAAUAUGUGGAGAAGAAAAGAAGGAAAUAAAUAUAUGAAUUUUUUGUAAGGUUAGGUGUGA